rnacentral:rRNA from 1 species
UAGUACGGCGAGUGACCGGGAUGAGCUCAAAUUUGAAAUCUGGCGUCUUUCAGGCGUCCGAGUUGUAAUCUAUAGAGGCGUUUUCCGCGCCGGACCGCGUCCAAGUCUCUUGGAAUAGAGUAUCAAAGAGGGUGACAAUCCCGUACUUGACGCGACAACCGGUGCUCUGUGAUACGUUCUCAAUGAGUCGAGUUGUUUGGGAAUGCAGCUCUAAAUGGGUGGUAAAUUCCAUCUAAGGCUAAAUAUUGGCGAGAGACCGAUAGCGAACAAGUACCGUGAGGGAAAGAUGAAAAGCACUUUGGAAAGAGAGUUAAACAGCACGUGAAAUUGUUAAAAGGGAAACGAUUGAAGUCAGUCGUGUGGGAAGUAUUCAGCCGUCUCUGGCGGUGUAUUUGCUUCUCACGGGUCAACAUCAGUUUGAUCCGGUAGAAAAAGGCGGGAAGAAGGUGGCACCCUCGGGUGUGUUAUAGCUUCCUGUCAUAUGUGCCGGACCAGACUGAGGAACGCAGCUUGCAGCAAUGCCGGGGUUCGCCCACGUACAAGCUUAGGAUGUUGACAUAAUGGCUUUAAACGACCCGUCUU